rnacentral:rRNA from 1 species
GCCUGAUGCAGCAACGCCGCGUGAGGGAUGACGGCCUUCGGGUUGUAAACCUCUUUUAGCAGGGAAGAAGCGAAAGUGACGGUACCUGCAGAAAAAGCGCCGGCUAACUACGUGCCAGCAGCCGCGGUAAUACGUAGGGCGCAAGCGUUAUCCGGAAUUAUUGGGCGUAAAGAGCUCGUAGGCGGUUUGUCGCGUCUGCUGUGAAAUCCGGAGGCUCAACCUCCGGCCUGCAGUGGGUACGGGCAGACUAGAGUGCGGUAGGGGAGAUUGGAAUUCCUGGUGUAGCGGUGGAAUGCGCAGAUAUCAGGAGGAACACCGAUGGCGAAGGCAGAUCUCUGGGCCGUAACUGACGCUGAGGAGCGAAAGGGUGGGGAGCAAACAGGCUUAGAUACCCUGGUAGUCCACCCCGUAAACGUUGGGAACUAGUUGUGGGGUCCAUUCCACGGAUUCCGUGACGCAGCUAACGCAUUAAGUUCCCCGCCUGGG